rnacentral:rRNA from 1 species
CAAUAGCGUAUAUUUAAGUUGCUGCAGUUAAAAAGCUCGUAGUUGGAUUUCGGGUGGGAAUGGCCGGUCCGCCGUUUCGGUGUGCACUUGCUACGCCCACCUUGCUGCCGGGGACGUGCUCUUGAGUUCACGCUCGGGACACGGAGUCGGCGAGGUUACUUUGAGUAAAUUAGAGUGUUCAAAGCAGGCCUACGCUCUGAAUACAUUAGCAUGGAAUAACACGAUAGGACUCUGGCUUAUCUUGUUGGUCUGUGAGACCAGAGUAAUGAUUAAGAGGGACAGUCGGGGACAUUCGUAUUUCAUUGUCAGAGGUGAAAUUCUUGGAUUUAUGAAAGACGAACUACUGCGAAAGCAUUUGCCAAGGAUGUUUUCAUUAA